rnacentral:rRNA from 1 species
AUUGAACGCUGGCGGCAUGCCUAACACAUGCAAGUCGAGCGGAUGAAUGGAGCUUGCUCCUGGAUUCAGCGGCGGACGGGUGAGUAAUGCCUAGGAAUCUGCCUUGUAGUGUGGGAUAACGUCCUGAAACGGGCGCUAAUACCGCAUCCGUCCUGAGGUAGAAAUUGGAGGAUCUUCGGACCUCACGCUAUCAGAUGAGCCUAGGUCGGAUUAGCUAGUUGGUGGGGUAAAGGCCUACCAAGGCGACGAUCCGUAACUGGUCUGAGAGGAUGAUCAGUCACACUGGAACUGAGACACGGUCCAGACUCCUACGGGAGGCAGCAGUGGGGAAUAUUGGACAAUGGGCGAAAGCCUGAUCCAGCAAUGCCGGGUGUGUGAAGAAGGUCUUCGGAUUGUAAAGCACUUUAAGUUGGGAGGAAGGGCAGUAAGUUAAUACCUUGCUGUUUUGACGUUACCAACAGAAUAAGCACCGGCUAACUUCGUG